AUUGAACGCUGGCGGCAGGCCUAACACAUGCAAGUCGAGCGAGCGGCGGACGGGUGAGUAAUGUCUGGGAAACUGCCUGAUGGAGGGGGAUAACUCCUGGAAACGGUAGCUAAUACCGCAUACCAUCAGAUGUGCCCAGAUGGGAUUAGCUAGUAGGUGGGGUACCGGCUCACCUAGGCGACUAUCCCUAGCUGGUCUGAUAGGAUGACCAGCCACACGGGAACUGAGACACGGGCCAGACGCCUACGGGAGGCAGCAGGGGGGGAGAUGGCACAAUGGGCGCAAGCCUGAUGCAGCCAUGCCGCGUGUAUGAAGAAGGCCUUCGGGUUGUAAAGUACUUUCAGCGGGGAGGCGUUACCCGCAGAAGAAGCACCGGCUAACUCCGUGCCAGCAGCCGCGGUAAUUC
rnacentral:rRNA from 1 species